GAGGCGGCCAUAUUGGUGAGGGGUGGAAAGGCGGGACCGGGGUUGGGGCUAGUGGGGCUCAGUAUGCGCAUGCGCAAUUCGCGCGGGCGCUGUUAACAUGUGAUUGAUGAGCCAGUCUUUUUCCUGGGAUUCGCUUUUGCCUUUCUUGCAAAGUUUCCUGGGGAAAGAAGAGCGAGCAAGUAGAAAAGGGAAAGUGGGAGGACCCAUUUCAGGGAGAGAACAGAGUCGAAAAAAGGUCCGAGGAGCCCAUAGGCAAGGCCCGAUGGAAGUUUUGCGGCCAACUCCGGUGCAGUUGGGCAGGGUCCUGCCCUCCUUGGGCCUGUUUUCUCAUUUGUAAUAUGGGUCAUUUUGCAUUAGCUUUGUGCAUCCCAAAUGAUCCUGUCAGAGUCCUCCUCCCAGCUACCUGAGGGAAUGCUACCUGGGGGUCCUGGAGGUGGAAGAUCGGUCUUUUCUGUGUUAAUUGUUCACACUCUUGCUUCUCCCGUCCUGUGCUUCCGUAUAUAAUCCAUGGCUCUCCCUCCCUUUUCAGCGUUUUCAACGUUUAUGAGUGAAGUUGAGGUACCAAUAAGAUGCGCCACCUUUGUCCUGUGGCUCACCUGGGCCCUCGACCAGCUGUAUACCCUCCCACGUCCCUCUUCUGCCCCAGUUCUAGAAACGGGUUGGAUCAUCUCCGAUCUUCCUUUCAGCCCAGACAGUGGUUUUUGCUCGUGUGUGAACCUGCUUCGCCUCCCCUCCCUUCCCUUGCUAUUCACCUGUAAAUGUACUUUGCUUACUAAGCACUUUGGGACCUCACCAGUGAGCAGGUGUUGCCUUCUGGACCUCCCAAGGCCUAGAGAAGACUCUCGGGAUGUGGGGUUGGGGAAUGUGGGGCUGUGGAGACCUUCCUGUGAGACCCAGGAGUGGGGCUUUGAUUUACUUACAGCAUGCUUCUUAGGAAGAACAUCUUGGAAGUGGCCCAGUUGCGUAAUUCUUGGAACUGCCUGGGAUUGGCCAUUAAAGGUCUCAGGGCCCCUGUCUGACAUUCCAGUGGUUUCUUUUAGAAACCAUUGUUUCUCCAGCUGGGGACUUGUGAGAGGGCCUGGGAAAUUGUUUUAAGAAUAUCAGGAGUCAGAGUGCCCUCAUCUCCCUCAUGUUCUCAAGCCAAGGAUACCCCUGCAGGGGGACUUUGCCUGCCUCACGGCUCCUCCCCUGCCAUGCAGCUGUCCACAGCAGAAGCAGCUGGGACACCUCCUCGCUCAGCUUUUCCACCCCCCAACUGUCAGAGGAGUGGUAGGAUACUGAGGGGCUUCUCUGCAGCCCCCAGAGGCCCCCAGCAGGAUUGAACUUGCAUUGCCCACAAAGGUGUCAUGAAGAGGUACAACAGGGAAGAGGGAAAUCAUGGUCCCUGCCUUAGUGGAUCUUAUGGCAUCUUGGGGGCACAGAUAAACACCUGAAUCUGAAAAUUAUCCUUUGAGGAAGGCUGAGCAAGAAUUAAUUCCCCCAUUUUACAGGUUGGUGAGAUGAGCCCUCCCCUGAGUCAACAGUCUCCCUUCUCUGUUCUCAUGGAGCAAACAGAACGUGAGCCCCCCAAGGACGGAGCAACUCCUGGACCCCACUGGAUCAACAAGGCUCAUUCUUCUGGAUCUCCAAUGCCAUGAGGUCCUGCUAUGGUCCUGCUAUGUUACCCAAGCUGGUCUUGAACUCCUGACCUCAAGCCAUCCUCCUGCCUCAGCCUCCCAAAGUGUCAAGAUUACAGGCAUGAGCCACUGCACACCCAGCCUGCCGUGUGACAUCUGAGGCUAGAUUAUAAGAAUGCUAUGAGCUUCCACCUGGCUUUCAUGGACAGGAUGCUAACUCUUGGAACUCAGCUGCCAUGUCGUGAGGAAGUCCAAAUCAUCCCACAUAGAGAGGCCUGUGAAGGAGCUGUAGCUCACAGCCUAGCUGAGGUCCUGGCUGACAGCCUGCAUCAUCUGCCAGGCAUGAGUGAAGAUGCUUCCAGAUGAUUCUAGCUCCCACUCUCAACUUGGAUUGUUCCCAGCAGAGGCUCCAGAAAUCAUAGAGCAGAGAUCACCUCUCCCUACUCUGCUUUGUCCAAGUUCUGGGCUAUAAAAUCUAUGAGCAUGGUAACAUGAUUGUUUUACACCAGAAAGUUUUGGGGUGGUUUGUGACAUAGCAACUGGUACAGAAAUUAUUUGCUCACAAGCAGGCGUCUCUCUCAAGGGGGAAAGUCUUCUGGUCAUUUUUGCGCCCUUUUCUAGGGCGAAUAUGAUUGGUAGGGAUGAUGCCCAUCAUAGCACCAUUGCUUCAUCAGAGGCCAUUUGGAUCAAUGAGCCCUUCCAUGUUCUUUAGUUGCAAUAUGUUAAUAUAUCUUACUUGUCCAUUUCCCACUGACUAGAAUAUCAGUUCCCUAUGAUAAGUUUUUUCCCCCAUUUUGUUUGUUGCUGUAUUCCCCAAACCCAAACUAGCACAGGUGCUCCUCAACUUAUGAUGGAGUUACCUCCCAAUAAACCCGCCAUAAAGUUGAAAAAUCCUAAGUUGAACCAUCUUAAGUUGAGGACCAUCUGUGCUUGGUAGUUGUUCAAUAAAUAAUUGUUGCAAUAAAUAAUUGUCAGAUGAAUGCUUAUGAAACAAACAUCAAGUGGGCAAAAGUUUUGAUAAUGAUUCCUGGAGAGAAUUUUGCUAACAUUACCAUGUUCUAGUUGUUAUGAUAAUGUAAAAUUACUUUCUGGAUAAGGACAAGUUCACAUUGUGGUGGUAAUUUCUGGAGAAUAAUAGUUAAAUGUUCCCACUUUUUCUUGAAAUGAAAACACAAAAGAAUCAUUAGGAAAGGUAUGAUGAGUGUUAGGGACACGUCAGGUCCAUACUCAAGAGCUUGUUCAGGGAAUUGGUUCCUGGUAAAAAGGAUUUGGUAUCAGUCAGCAAGUAAGAAGUGAUUUGAGUAAACCUUCCUUUGUUGCCUGGCAUAUUCUGGGUAUCAUAGGGACCACAAAAAAGUGUAAGAUGUAGACGCUGUCCUCAAACUGUGUUGAGUCUAGCUGGGGAGACAUAAGAUUGGAAUCUAUAUACAGAUGGCCCAGUAAGGCAAGCUAGGUCCAGUGGUGAAACUGAUAGGGUUUCACUAGUUGAGGUCCCCAAGGGUGAGAGAAUGUCAAAGAAGACUUCCUGGAGGAGGCAAGUUAAAGGGGAUUAUGGAUUGGGCAGGUGGACAGCUUCCUGAUACACUAAUCAGAGGAACACUGAAACCACAGGGAUCCAUCAGAAAUCUGCUGCCUGUUAACUCAGGUUUCCACCUGCAGCUUCUCACAUAGCUGGUGGAAAUGAAAUUGGUGUCCCUUUUGCCAAAAUAGACAAUGCCCCUAAGUAGAAAGAAAAGCUACUCCUCCCCACCACCAGCCUACCUCUGUGGGGGUAUUUCUGCAAUGUGCAUUGCAAGUUGCUGCAUCCACUGGCCAGCUUGGCUCUGAGAUCAGCCAGCUGGCAGCCUCUGCAGUGGGCAUGGCUGAGCAGCCUAAAUUCUGAAACCAAUUAAUGCACUACAAAGGACUGUUUACCAAGAAGGCAUCUGCAAGCCUUAAAAAAAAUCUCGUAAAAAGUUGUCCAGUUGUAGUCCCAGCUACUCAGGAGGCUGAGACUGGAUGAUUGCUUGAGGCUACAAGUUUGAGGCCGUGGUGGGCUAUGAUCACAUCACUGCAUACCAGCCCAGGCAACCAAGUGAAACACCAUUGCUGUAACCACAAAUGCCUGAAAACAUAAAUAAAUAU